GUGGGUAUAGCUCAGUCGGUUAGAGCGCCAGAUUGUGGCUCUGGAGGUCGUGGGUUCGAUUCCCAUUAUCCACCCCA
rnacentral:tRNA from 1 species